rnacentral:lncRNA from 1 species
GUAGUGGUAUCCGCUGCACAUCUGUAAAGUAUUAUGUGCACGUUUUUGUUGCUGCAUGUGGCUGAUGACGAUGAAGUAUAAUGGCUGAGCACUUCGCAGUGGG